rnacentral:rRNA from 1 species
UACGGGGGGGGCAAGCGUUGUUCGGAAUUACUGGGCGUAAAGGGCUCGUAGGCGGCCAACUAAGUCAGACGUGAAAUCCCCAGGCUCAACCUGGGAACUGCGUCUGAUGCUGGAUGGCUUGAAUCCGGGAGAGGGAUGCAGAAUUCCAGGUGUAGUGGUGAAAUGCGUAGAUAUCGGGAGGAACACCAGUGGCGUAGGCGGCUGUCUGGGGUCCUGCUGACGCUGAGGCACGAAAGCCAGGGGGGCAAACGGG